UACUCUGGAGAAGAUCAUCAAUGCGUGG
rnacentral:sRNA from 1 species